UACGGGGGGGGGCAAGCGUUGUUCGGAAUUACUGGGCGUAAAGCGUGCGCAGGCGGUUUUGUAAGCCAGAUGUGAAAGCCCCGGGCUCAACCUGGGAAUGGCAUUUGGGACUGCAAGGCUUGAGUGCGGCAGAGGAGACUGGAAUUCCUGGUGUAGCAGUGAAAUGCGUAGAUAUCAGGAGGAAUACCGAUGGCGAAGGCAGGUCUCUGGGCUGACACUGACGCUCAUGCACGAAAGCGUGGGGAGCAAACAGGAUU
rnacentral:rRNA from 1 species